AUUGAACGCUGGCGGCAGGCCUAACACAUGCAAGUCGAACGAGUGGCGGACGGGUGAGUAAUGUCUGGGAAACUGCCUGCUGGAGGGGGAUAACUACUGGAACCGGUAGCUAAUACCGCAUACCAUCAGAUGUGCCCACAUGGGCUUUGCUCGUUGGUGGGGUAACGGGCCACCAAGGCGACGAUGCCUAGCUGGUCUGAGAGGAUGAAGAGCCAAACUGGAACUGAGACACGGUCCGGACUCCUACGUGAGGCAGCAGGGGGGAAUAGUGCACAAUGGGCGCAAGCCUGAUGCAGCCAUGCAGCGUGUAUGAAGAAGGGGUUCGGGUUGUAAAGUACUUUCAGCGGGGAGGCGUUACCCGCAGAAGAAGCACCGGCUAACUCCGUGCCAGCCGCCGCGGUAAUUC
rnacentral:rRNA from 1 species